rnacentral:rRNA from 1 species
AGAGUUUGAUCCUGGCUCAGAUUGAACGCUGGCGGCAGGCCUAACACAUGCAAGUCGAGCGGUAGCACAGAGAGCUUGCUCUCGGGUGACGAGCGGCGGACGGGUGAGUAAUGUCUGGGAAACUGCCUGAUGGAGGGGGAUAACUACUGGAAACGGUAGCUAAUACCGCAUAAUGUCGCAAGACCAAAGUGGGGGACCUUCGGGCCUCAUGCCAUCAGAUGUGCCCAGAUGGGAUUAGCUAGUAGGUGGGGUAACGGCUCACCUAGGCGACGAUCCCUAGCUGGUCUGAGAGGAUGACCAGCCACACUGGAACUGAGACACGGUCCAGACUCCUACGGGAGGCAGCAGUGGGGAAUAUUGCACAAUGGGCGCAAGCCUGAUGCAGCCAUGCCGCGUGUGUGAAGAAGGCCUUCGGGUUGUAAAGCACUUUCAGCGGGGAGGAAGGCGUUAAGGUUAAUAACCUUGGCGAUUGACGUUACCCGCAGAAGAAGCACCGGCUAACUCCGUGCCAGCAGCCGCGGUAAUACGGAGGGUGCAAGCGUUAAUCGGAAUUACUGGGCGUAAAGCGCACGCAGGCGGUCUGUCAGGUCGGAUGUGAAAUCCCCGGGCUCAACCUGGGAACUGCAUUCGAAACUGGCAGGCUAGAGUCUUGUAGAGGGGGGUAGAAUUCCAGGUGUAGCGGUGAAAUGCGUAGAGAUCUGGAGGAAUACCGGUGGCGAAGGCGGCCCCCUGGACAAAGACUGACGCUCAGUGCGAAAGCGUGGGGAGCAAACAGGAUUAGAUACCCUGGUAGUCCACGCCCUAAACGAUGUACACUAGUUGUUGUGAGGCUAGACCUUGCAGUAAUGCAGUUAACACAUUAAGUGUACCGCCUGGGGAGUACGGUCGCAGAUUAAAACUCAAGGAAUAGACGGGGACCCGCACAGCGGUGGAGCAUGUGGUUUAAUUCGACGAUACACGAGACUUACCUGACUUGACAUAGUAGAACUUUCUAGAGAUAGAUGGUGUCUGCUUGCAGAACUUAUAUACAGUGCUGCACGGCUGUCGUCAGCUCGUGUCGUGAGAUGUUGGGUUAAGUCCCGCAACGAGCGCAACCCUUGUUGUUAGUUGCCAGCAUGUAAAGAUGGGGACUCUAACAAGACAGCUAGUGAUAAGCUAGAGGAAGGUGGGGAUGACGUCAAAUCAUCAUGCCCCUUACGAUCUGGGCUACACACGUGCUACAAUGGUUGGAACAAAGGGAAGCGAAAUGGUGACAUUAAGCAAAACUCAAAAAACCAAUCACAGUUCGGAUUGUAGUCUGCAACUCGACUACAUGAAGCUGGAAUCGCUAGUAAUCGCGAAUCAGAAUGUCGCGGUGAAUACGUUCCCGGGCCUUGUACACACCGCCCGUCACACCACGAGAGUUGAUAACACCCAAAGUCGAUGACCUAACAGCAAUGAAGGAGUCGCCUAAGGUGGGAUUGAUGAUUGGGGUGAAGUCGUAACAAGGUAACC